rnacentral:rRNA from 1 species
GACGAACGCUGGCGGCGUGCUUAACACAUGCAAGUCGAGCGGUAAGGCCCUUUCGGGGGUACACGAGCGGCGAACGGGUGAGUAACACGUGGGUGACCUGCCCUCAGCUCUGGGAUAAGCCUGGGAAACCGGGUCUAAUACUGGAUAUGACUCCAUGACGCAUGUUGUGGGGUGGAAAGCCUUGUGCGGCUGAGGAUGGGCCCGCGGCCUAUCAGCUUGUUGGUGGGGUGANGGGCCUACCAAGGCGACGACGGGUAGCCGGCCUGAGAGGGCGACCGGCCACACUGGGACUGAGACACGGCCCAGACUCCUACGGGAGGCAGCAGUGGGGAAUCUUGCGCAAUGGGCGAAAGCCUGACGCAGCGACGCCGCGUGAGGGAUGACGGCCUGG